GUGGGGAAUUUUGGACAAUGGGCGCAAGCCUGAUCCAGCAAUGCCGCGUGCAGGAAGAAGGCCUUCGGGUUGUAAACUGCUUUUGUACGGAACGAAACGGUCCGGGUUAAUACCCUGGGCUAAUGACGGUACCGUAAGAAUAAGCACCGGCUAACUACGUGCCAGCAGCCGCGGUAAUACGUAGGGUGCAAGCGUUAAUCGGAAUUACUGGGCGUAAAGCGUGCGCAGGCGGAUUUGUAAGACAGGCGUGAAAUCCCCGGGCUCAACCUGGGAAUUGCGCUUGUGACUGCAAGGCUGGAGUGCGGCAGAGGGGGAUGGAAUUCCGCGUGUAGCAGUGAAAUGCGUAGAUAUGCGGAGGAACACCGAUGGCGAAGGCAAUCCCCUGGGCCUGCACUGACGCUCAUGCACGAAAGCGUGGGGAGCAAACAGGAUUAGAAACCCCAGUAGUCC
rnacentral:rRNA from 1 species